GGCCUGUAUACCUGCUCACAGUGUUCAAAGGGUGUCACAGAUAAUUAUCUGCAUGCUCUGUUGGCCUGUAUACCUGCUCACAGUGCACCAUGGGUGUCACAGAUAAUUAUCUGCAUGCUCUGUUGGCCUGUAUACCUGCUCACAGUGCACCAUGGGUGUCACAGGUAAUUACUGUAUGUUCUCUAUAGGUGAAAGAUCUGGACUGCAGACAGGCCAAUUCAGUACCCGGACUCUUCUCCGACGA